CUAAGCGUACACGGUGGAUGCCCUGGCAGUCAGAGGCGAUGAAGGACGUGCUAAUCUGCGAUAAGCGCCGGUAAGGUGAUAUGAACCGUUAUAACCGGCGAUUUCCGAAUGGGGAAACCCAGUGUGAUUCGUCACACUAUCAUUAACUGAAUCCAUAGGUUAAUGAGGCGAACCGGGGGAACUGAAACAUCUAAGUACCCCGAGGAAAAGAAAUCGACCGAGAUUCCCCCA
rnacentral:rRNA from 1 species